rnacentral:snRNA from 1 species
GUGCUCGCUUUGGCAUCACAUAUACUAAAAUUGGAACGAUACAGAGAAGAUUAGCAUGGUCCCUGUGCAAGAAUGACAUGCAAAUUCAUGAAGCAGUCCAUAUUUUU